AUACGUAGGUGACAAGCGUUAUCCGGAUUUACUGGGCGUAAAGGGCGUGUAGGCGGUCUUGCAAGUCAGAAGUGAAAUUCCUGAGCUCAACUCGGGCGCUGCUUCUGAAACUGCAGGACUUGAGUGCUGGAGGGGAUAGCGGAAUUCCUAGUGGAGCGGUAAAAUGCGCAGAUAUUAGGAAGAACACCGGUGGCGAAGGCGGCUAUCUGGACAGUAACUGACGCUGAGGCGCGAAAGCGUGGGGAGCAAACAGGAUUAGAUACCCGGGUAGUCCACGCCGUAAACGAUGAAUACUAGGUGUAGGGGGUAUCGACUCCCUCUGUGCCGCAGUUAACACAAUAAGUAUUCCGCCUGGGGAGUACGGCCGCAAGGUUGAAACUCAAAUGAAUUGACGGGG
rnacentral:rRNA from 1 species